AUCAGCCGUUCACUGUUAGACCAGACUGGUCUAGCAUACAUACCGCUCUAUAGUCCAGACAUAAAGAGAACGAGGGAUCAUGAUUCUUCAUUCAAUUCUAGUCUCUUGGAGAGAUCACUUUCAGAGAAUGAUUUAUCGCAAGCUGUCACUCCAAUGCGAAGAGUAAUGCCUAUAGAGUCUUUUCUGAAAACUCCUAGUCAUCCCAGUAGCAAGUCCACCCUGAAGCCUAAAUCAUGCGGAAGAGUAUUGACUAGUGUUGAAUUCAUGACAUGUAUAGAGGAAAAGGAAAGAAUGAAGCAGGAAGCCUUGAAGGAGAAGGAGCGUAAAAGAAUUGCUAGACUUGAGAACCAGAAGGAAGCUAAUAGAGUAAAAGAGUUGAAGAGAAGUGCAAAUUUUACUAUGAGUGAGCACAGGCAAUUCUCUAAGAGGUUUGAAAAUGGGUAUGACAUUCCGGAUGAGAGGUAUGAGUUAUGGGUUCAGUUAUAUCGUCCUAAUAUGACAUCUCAAGGUGGGUGUUGAUGAAUUCAUAUUAUUAUGUUGAACAUAAUGUAUUUAUUAAUAUUAAGAUUUAAAUGCUGAAGAUGAAGACCAAGAUUCCUUGAGUAAUGACACUGAUGAAGGAGAAGAGCUUUCAAUGAGUGCUGCAAACAGUAUGCAUGAAACAUAAUAUUAUUCUAUAAUGCU